AGUGAACGCUGGCGGUAGGCCUAACACAUGCAAGUCGAACGGCAGCACAGUAAGAGCUUGCUCUUACGGGUGGCGAGUGGCGGACGGGUGAGGAAUACAUCGGAAUCUACUUUUUCGUGGGGGAUAACGUAGGGAAACUUACGCUAAUACCGCAUACGACCUCCGGGUGAAAGCAGGGGAUCUUCGGACCUUGCGCGAUUGAAUGAGCCGAUGUCGGAUUAGCUAGUUGGCGGGGUAAAGGCCCACCAAGGCGACGAUCCGUAGCUGGCCUGAGAGGAUGAUCAGCCACACUGGAACUGAGACACGGUCCAGACUCCUACGGGAGGCAGCAGUGGGGAAUAUUGGACAAUGGGCGCAAGCCUGAUCCAGCCAUACCGCGUGGGUGAAGAAGGCCUUCGGGUUGUAAAGCCCUUUUGUUGGGAAAGAAAAGCAGCAGGUUAAUACCCCGCUGUUCUGACGGUACCCAAAGAAUAAGCACCGGCUAACUUCGUG
rnacentral:rRNA from 1 species